AGAGUUUGAUCCUGGCUCAGGACGAACGCUGGCGGCGCGCCUAACACAUGCAAGUCGAACGGAGUUAUUUUCUUCACUCCGAGCUUUUUGCCGGUUAGCCGGAGCGGCAAUCGGUUUUGCCCAGUAUAAAAAGCAAAACCGAUUUAGGCUCAUAAAGUAAGGCUAACACAGAGGGCAGAGAGUUGGGAGUGAAGAAAAUAACUUAGUGGCGAACGGGUGAGUAACGCGUGAGUAACCUGCCCUGGAGUGGGGGACAACAGUUGGAAACGACUGCUAAUACCGCAUAAGCCCACGGCCCGGCAUCGGGCUGAGGGAAAAGGAUUUAUUCGCUUCAGGAUGGACUCGCGUCCAAUUAGCUAGUUGGUGAGGUAACGGCCCACCAAGGCGACGAUUGGUAGCCGGACUGAGAGGUUGAACGGCCACAUUGGGACUGAGACACGGCCCAGACUCCUACGGGAGGCAGCAGUGGGGAAUAUUGCACAAUGGGGGAAACCCUGAUGCAGCGACGCCGCGUGGAGGAAGAAGGUUUUCGGAUUGUAAACUCCUGUCGUUAGGGACGAUAAUGACGGUACCUAACAAGAAAGCACCGGCUAACUACGUGCCAGCAGCCGCGGUAAAACGUAGGGUGCAAGCGUUGUCCGGAAUUACUGGGUGUAAAGGGAGCGCAGGCGGACCGGCAAGUUGGAAGUGAAAACUAUGGGCUCAACCCAUAAAUUGCUUUCAAAACUGCUGGCCUUGAGUAGUGCAGAGGUAGGUGGAAUUCCCGGUGUAGCGGUGGAAUGCGUAGAUAUCGGGAGGAACACCAGUGGCGAAGGCGGCCUACUGGGCACCAACUGACGCUGAGGCUCGAAAGUGUGGGUAGCAAACAGGAUUAGAUACCCUGGUAGUCCACACCGUAAACGAUGAUUACUAGGUGUUGGAGGAUUGACCCCUUCAGUGCCGCAGUUAACACAAUAAGUAAUCCACCUGGGGAGUACGACCGCAAGGUUGAAACUCAAAGGAAUUGACGGGGGCCCGCAC
rnacentral:rRNA from 1 species